GAUAACCAAAGACGACAGCAGGGCUAAGUGUUAAGUUAGUAAUCUUACGCACUCCACCCCCUCCAGGAGCCCAUGUAUCAUAAAUGCCGCCAAAAAAGACAGCUUUUCCUACAAGUAAGAGAGCACCAGCUCCUAGCAAAAGAAGAUGAAUACCAAGAAUGGUUGUCAUCUUGUUUUUAUCUUUCCA
rnacentral:antisense_RNA from 15 species